GAGUUUGAUCAUGGCUCAGAUUGAACGCUGGCGGCAGGCCUAACACAUGCAAGUCGGGCGGUAGAGAGAAGCUUGCUUCUCUUGAGAGCGGCGGACGGGUGAGUAAUGCCUAGGAAUCUGCCUGGUAGUGGGGGAUAACGCUCGGGAAACGGACGCUAAUACCGCAUACGUCCUACGGGAGAAAGCAGGGGACCUUCGGGCCUUGCGCUAUCAGAUGAGCCUAGGUCGGAUUAGCUAGUUGGUGAGGUAAUGGCUCACCAAGGCGACGAUCCGUAACUGGUCUGAGAGGAUGAUCAGUCACACUGGAACUGAGACACGGUCCAGACUCCUACGGGAGGCAGCAGUGGGGAAUAUUGGACAAUGGGCGAAAGCCUGAGUCCAGCCAUGCCGCGUGUGUGAAGAAGAUCUUCGGAUUGUAAAGCACUUUAAGUUGGGA
rnacentral:rRNA from 1 species